rnacentral:rRNA from 1 species
AUUGAACGCUAGCGGCAUGCUUAACACAUGCAAGUCGAACGGUAACAGGCCUAGCUUGCUAGGCGCUGACGAGUGGCGGACGGGUGAGUAACGCGUAGGAAUCUACCUUGUAGAGGGGAAUAACCUGGGGAAACUCAGGCUAAUACCGCAUAAGCCCUAAGGGGGAAAGCAGGGGACUGUAACAGGCCUUGCACUAUGAGAUGAGCCUACGUCGGAUUAGCUAGUUGGUAGGGUAAAGGCCUACCAAGGCGAAGAUCCGUAGCUGGUCUGAGAGGACGACCAGCCACACUGGGACUGAGACACGGCCCAGACUCCUUCGGGAGGCAGCAGUGGGGAAGAUUGGACAAUGGGCGCAAGCCUGAUCCAGCAAUGCCGCGUGUGUGAAGAAGGCCUGCGGGUUGUAAAGCACUUUCAGUGGGGAGGAACGUUUUUAGCACUAAUACUGCUAAGAGGUGACGCUACCCAAAGAAGAAGCACCGGCUAACUCUGUGCCAGCCGCCGCCGUAA